rnacentral:rRNA from 1 species
CGGUCUUGUACACACCGCCCGUCACACCAUGGGAGCGGGAUGUACCAGAAGUAGGUAGGCUAACCGCAAGGGGGCCGCUUACCACGGUGCGUUUCGUGACUGGGGUG